rnacentral:misc_RNA from 1 species
GAAAUGCGAUAAGUAAUGCGAAUUGCAGAAUUUCCGUGAGUCAUCGAAUCUUUGAACGCACAUUGCGCCCAUUAGUAUUCUAGUGGGCAUGCCUGUUCGAGCGUCAUUUCAACCCUUAAGCCUAGCUUAGUAUUGGGAAUCGACUUUACUGUCGUUCCUCAAAUUCAACGGCGGAUUUAUAGCAAUCUCUGAACGUAGUAAUUUUUAUCUCGUUUUUGAAAUACUAUAAAACUCAGCCGCUAAACCCCCAAUUUUCUAUGGUUGACCUCGGAUCAGGUAGGAAUACCCGCUGAACUUAAGC